rnacentral:lncRNA from 1 species
CCGACACCCGACACUCUAACCAGUACUUUCUUCUUUUUUCCCUUAAGCGCUACGUGGGCUAAGCAUUCUGUCUACUUUCCAAUUCUAUAUGUAUGUGAAGCUUAUUCAGUAGCUUGUUCCCUAGUGGGUUCCGCCUCACAACACAAGAUCUAAUCUCAGACCAAACCUGACGCGCCCUCUCCCGACGCUUACUUAGUAGGGUGAAUUUAGGCUUAGUGCCGAUCCUUGUUUGUAAGUCGUCUUGUACUGCAGAUCACUCAACUCGAGAUUAGAUGGGAAGACGAUGCAACGAGCCCGCCCUUUUGGAUUUGAGGUUGCUGUAUGAUCCGGAAGCCUAGGUACUUGAUUUCGAUGACACUGAAGGUCGUCUUGCCUUUGGUUAUUUUGCCUCAUCCCUAUACUAGAGAACCUUCUUUGACCAGCAAGCAAGCCCAUAAAUAGGGCGCCUCGACUAGUAGCGGUCCUAGUCCAAGCCGAGUAGUACCACUUUGCACUAAAGACGCAUACUUAUUCAAAUAGGUGCUUCCGCUAUGGUAAAUAGGUGCUUCCAUCAAAGCUAUGGUAGCCAUGGGUUCCACUAUGUUUGUCUAGAGAGUUCGGCAGCAGCAGAGCACAAAUAAUCUUCUCCAACCAACCUUGACAAGCGCGAAGAUUACCUGUAUUGGGCUUUAGUCAGGAGUAGUGGGUCCCGGUACCUGUUUUUCCUGUCUCCUUAUUCGCUACCUCACUAACCUAUGCAAGACUCUACCCUGACUGGUUGACUUCUGUGAUACAUCCUACAGAUAGCCCAGCGGUCCUCCGCAGUAUAUAAAUAAGGGUAAUAAGCCCUACCCAAAUUCUCAAUGUCCUUUAGAGUACUUUCUUGAUAUGUGUCCUGCUCUAACUGCUUAUUUCCAUCAUAUAAAACUCUUCUUAUACCUUAGCCAGCAUUACUAGUGCUUGGGUGCUGUUUCAUCCUUAUAUUUCUCUAUUAUCUCUUGAGUCUCACGGAUCUUCUUAAACCACUGGGAUUCUUCACGCCAAGCGUAUACAACAAGUCCAGUGUUCUAGAGCUUCUGUUUCCUUUCCUUGCACCCCAAGAGUAAUUAAUAGGAUCCUAUUAUGAUUAGUACCUUAUCGCUGGCAAUACUUAACGCCUCGGAAUUCAUUGACUCUUUGACUUGGGCUAACGGAGCUGUACUUGCACUUGCCCCGGAUUCUUAUCUUUCAACGAAAACUCCAGUUGUCGCAUCUGCCCUGUGAAGUCUCCUUCAGUUCCCCCCAGGUUAGGAGUAACAAAAAGAAUCAUCAUAAGCCGAAUCCGAAUCGACUCUCUUUUCGAAUGCCCAUGGAGCAGUGUGUGAAGCAUCUAUUGACCCUGUAAGUUAAUGGCGAGAGUAAGAUGUGCGGUAUCCAGUCAUUGUCCCGCUCUAGCUCGCCGGUGAGAGUGUUGGUGCUCUAGCUCUAAGUCUGUGAUAGAGGGUUCUUGCGUUGUGGUAAGCAAAGAAAGAAAAGGAUCAAGAUCAGAUGUGAUUAGUUAGUUGUCCUCUUCUUCCUAACACCGGCAAGUACUUGACUAUUCUUUUUCCUCUUAUUCUAUUCUCGUUUCGUUAACUGCUUACUUUCUUUCGCCAACCCCUGGAAUGGAACUUGCUGCUCCCGUUCGCGCACCGGUACCUUAUUCUUUCCCGACUAUAGGAUGAAAGUUGCCCGCUUGCUACUGGACUUGAGAAAGCUUCGUAUCACUCCACCUGGACCAGAUUCUGCACUUCAUCUGUGGCUUCUUAUCCUUAUUCUACGUAUCUCGUAAGGUAUCAAUCAAUUUGAACCCCGGGUUACCAGUGUAGGCCUAUAAUCGAUAGGUGAAACACUCUUUUCUUUUUGGCGAGAUCUACAAUAACUGGAAUACUGUGCUGUGGAGCUGUAGUGGGCCUUUUGACUUAGUUUAAGCUAUGUGUUACUCUGCUAAUGGCAAAUGAAUUCCUAAUUGAAACUUGGAAACAGUCUUUCUACUUCAUUAAUAUCCUUGCUUUGCGCUGUUCCUAAGUGCAUUAGCUUACUUUUUGGGUGCUACGGGCAAGAACAAAAGUACUCUUGGCUAGGGAACAAGCUUAAUAAGAUAAUGAAACGCUUACGUUAGUUUUUUGCCUCAACUCAAAUAUGAAGUUAAUACUGACUUAGCCGGUGCAGCUGCUUCUGUCCAGCAAGUGCUUAGUCUAGGGUGCGGGUCAAUAAUCUAUUCCAUAACGGCUACUAUUGGUAAUGAAUGAAAGUCAAAGAAGCCCAACCUUUAUAUACGCGUAAACUCAUAUUGUCCUGCUGUAGCUCAAAGGUGAACUCCGUUAGCGCAAACACUUAUUGAACUUGUGCGUUAAGCCAGCUGUAAACAGGUAAGGUGUUGCAGAGCCAGUAGAAAGUAUGAUGCUACGUCGCAAAGCAGUUUAGUUAGGUGGAGCAGAGCCAGUAGAAAGUA